GGGUUGUGAGGUUAAGCGACUAAGCGUACACGGUGGAUGCCCUGGCAGUCAGAGGCGAUGAAGGACGUGCUAAUCUGCGAAAAGCGUCGGUAAGGUGAUAUGAACCGUUACAACCGGCGAUGUCCGAAUGGGGAAACCCAGUGCAAUUCGUUGCACUAUCGUUAACUGAAUACAUAGGUUAACGAGGCGAACCGGGGGAACUGAAACAUCUAAGUACCCCGAGGAAAAGAAAUCAACCGAGAUUCCCCCAGUAGCGGCGAGCGAACGGGGAGCAGCCCAGAGUCUGAAUCAGCUUGUGUGUUAGUGGAACGGUCUGGAAAGUCCGACGGUACAGGGUGAUAGUCCCGUACACCAAAAUGCACAGGCUGUGAACUCGAAGAGUAGGGCGGGACACGUGGUAUCCUGUCUGAAUAUGGGGGGACCAUCCUCCAAGGCUAAAUACUCCUGACUGACCGAUAGUGAACCAGUACCGUGAGGGAAAGGCGAAAAGAACCCCGGCGAGGGGAGUGAAAAAGAACCUGAAACCGUGUACGUACAAGCAGUGGGAGCACCUUCGGGUGUGACUGCGUACCUUUUGUAUAAUGGGUCAGCGACUUAUAUUCUGUAGCAAGGUUAACCGUAUAGGGGAGCCGCAGGGAAACCGAGUCUUAACUGGGCGUUAAGUUGCAGGGUAUAGACCCGAAACCCGGUGAUCUAGCCAUGGGCAGGUUGAAGGUUGGGUAACACUAACUGGAGGACCGAACCGACUAAUGUUGAAAAAUUAGCGGAUGACUUGUGGCUGGGGGUGAAAGGCCAAUCAAACCGGGAGAUAGCUGGUUCUCCCCGAAAGCUAUUUAGGUAGCGCCUCGUGAACUCAUCUUCGGGGGUAGAGCACUGUUUCGGCUAGGGGGUCAUCCCGACUUACCAACCCGAUGCAAACUACGAAUACCGAAGAAUGUUAUCACGGGAGACACACGGCGGGUGCUAACGUCCGUCGUGAAGAGGGAAACAACCCAGACCGCCAGCUAAGGUCCCAAAGUCAUGGUUAAGUGGGAAACGAUGUGGGAAGGCACAGACAGCCAGGAUGUUGGCUUAGAAGCAGCCAUCAUUUAAAGAAAGCGUAAUAGCUCACUGGUCGAGUCGGCCUGCGCGGAAGAUGUAACGGGGCUAAACCAUGCACCGAAGCUGCGGCAGCGACACUAUGUGUUGUUGGGUAGGGGAGCGUUCUGUAAGCCUGCGAAGGUGUGCUGUGAGGCAUGCUGGAGGUAUCAGAAGUGCGAAUGCUGACAUAAGUAACGAUAAAGCGGGUGAAAAGCCCGCUCGCCGGAAGACCAAGGGUUCCUGUCCAACGUUAAUCGGGGCAGGGUGAGUCGACCCCUAAGGCGAGGCCGAAAGGCGUAGUCGAUGGGAAACAGGUUAAUAUUCCUGUACUUGGUGUUACUGCGAAGGGGGGACGGAGAAGGCUAUGUUAGCCGGGCGACGGUUGUCCCGGUUUAAGCAUGUAGGCUGAUUGUCCAGGCAAAUCCGGAUAAUCAAGGCUGAGGUGUGAUGACGAGGCACUACGGUGCUGAAGUAACAAAUGCCCUGCUUCCAGGAAAAGCCUCUAAGCAUCAGGUAACAUCAAAUCGUACCCCAAACCGACACAGGUGGUCAGGUAGAGAAUACCAAGGCGCUUGAGAGAACUCGGGUGAAGGAACUAGGCAAAAUGGUGCCGUAACUUCGGGAGAAGGCACGCUGGUGUGUAGGUGAAGUCCCUGCGGAUGGAGCUGAGACCAGUCGAAGAUACCAGCUGGCUGCAACUGUUUAUUAAAAACACAGCACUGUGCAAACACGAAAGUGGACGUAUACGGUGUGACGCCUGCCCGGUGCCGGAAGGUUAAUUGAUGGGGUUAUCCGUAAGGAGAAGCUCUUGAUCGAAGCCCCGGUAAACGGCGGCCGUAACUAUAACGGUCCUAAGGUAGCGAAAUUCCUUGUCGGGUAAGUUCCGACCUGCACGAAUGGCGUAAUGAUGGCCAGGCUGUCUCCACCCGAGACUCAGUGAAAUUGAACUCGCUGUGAAGAUGCAGUGUACCCGCGGCAAGACGGAAAGACCCCGUGAACCUUUACUAUAGCUUGACACUGAACAUUGAGCCUUGAUGUGUAGGAUAGGUGGGAGGCUUUGAAGCGUGGACGCCAGUCUGCGUGGAGCCAACCUUGAAAUACCACCCUUUAAUGUUUGAUGUUCUAACGUUGGCCCCUUACCGGGGUUGCGGACAGUGUCUGGUGGGUAGUUUGACUGGGGCGGUCUCCUCCCAAAGCGUAACGGAGGAGCACGAAGGUUAGCUAAUCCUGGUCGGACAUCAGGAGGUUAGUGCAAUGGCAUAAGCUAGCUUGACUGCGAGCGUGACGGCGCGAGCAGGUGCGAAAGCAGGUCAUAGUGAUCCGGUGGUUCUGAAUGGAAGGGCCAUCGCUCAACGGAUAAAAGGUACUCCGGGGAUAACAGGCUGAUACCGCCCAAGAGUUCAUAUCGACGGCGGUGUUUGGCACCUCGAUGUCGGCUCAUCACAUCCUGGGGCUGAAGUAGGUCCCAAGGGUAUGGCUGUUCGCCAUUUAAAGUGGUACGCGAGCUGGGUUUAGAACGUCGUGAGACAGUUCGGUCCCUAUCUGCCGUGGGCGCUGGAGAAUUGAGGGGGGCUGCUCCUAGUACGAGAGGACCGGAGUGGACGCAUCACUGGUGUUCGGGUUGUCAUGCCAAUGGCACUGCCCGGUAGCUAAAUGCGGAAGAGAUAAGUGCUGAAAGCAUCUAAGCACGAAACUUGCCCCGAGAUGAGUUCUCCCUGAGACUUUAAGUCUCCUGAAGGAACGUUAAAGACGAUGACGUUGAUAGGCCGGGUGUGUAAGCGCAGCGAUGCGUUGAGCUAACCGGUACUAAUGAACCGUGAGGCUUAACCUUACAACGCCGAAG
rnacentral:rRNA from 1 species